UACGAAGGGGGCUAGCGUUGCUCGGAAUCACUGGGCGUAAAGCGCACGUAGGCGGAUUGUUAAGUCAGGGGUGAAAUCCUGGAGCUCAACUCCAGAACUGCCUUUGAUACUGGCGAUCUCGAGUCCGGGAGAGGUGAGUGGAACUGCGAGUGUAGAGGUGAAAUUCGUAGAUAUUCGCAAGAACACCAGUGGCGAAGGCGGCUCACUGGCCCGGUACUGACGCUGAGGUGCGAAAGCGUGGGAGCAAACAGG
rnacentral:rRNA from 1 species